UACCAGCACCCCGAGUGGUCGGGACGUUUAUUGGGCCUAAAGCAUCCGUAGCCGGUUCUACAAGUCUUCCGUUAAAUCCACCUGCUUAACAGAUGGGCUGCGGAAGAUACUAUAGAGCUAGGAGGCGGGAGAGGCAAGCGGUACUCGAUGGGUAGGGGUAAAAUCCGUUGAUCCAUUGAAGACCACCAGUGGCGAAGGCGGCUUGCCAGAACGCGCUCGACGGUGAGGGAUGAAAGCUGGGGGGAGCAAACCGGG
rnacentral:rRNA from 1 species